ACACCGUUGGUGAAGUGGUUAUCAUGCUUGCCUUCCAUAUUUGGGUUUAGCAAGCGGCUCGGGUUCGAUUCCCGAACGGUGUA
rnacentral:tRNA from 1 species